GACAGAGGGUGCAAACGUUGUUCGGAAUCACUGGGCGUAAAGCGCGUGUAGGCGGCUUCGCAAGUCGGAUGUGAAAGCCCUCGGCUCAACCGAGGAAGUGCAUCCGAAACUGCGUCGCUAGAGUCCUGGAGAGGAAGGUGGAAUGCUUGGUGUAGAGGUGAAAUUCGUAGAUAUCAAGCGGAACACCGGUGGCGAAGGCGGCCUUCUGGACAGUGACUGACGCUGAGACGCGAAAGCGUGGGGAGCAAACAGG
rnacentral:rRNA from 1 species